UUAACUCAAAUUUGUAUGCGAUUGGAACAGCGCCCCUAGCGGCAAACGUAGGCAAACGUUCCAACUCCAUACAAAUUUGAGUUA
rnacentral:pre_miRNA from 1 species